UAGGGUAUGCAUCUUGCAAUAACUGUGG
rnacentral:piRNA from 1 species